AUGGCAUUGGUCCAACGGUUUGGAAAGCCAAACUUAUUCAUUACAAUGACUUGCAACCCGCAAUGGGAAGAGAUAACUAGAGAGCUGGAACCAGGUCAAUCGCCACAAGAUCGUCCAGAUUUGGUAGCACGGGUCUUCGAGGCAAAGUUGGAGGAUCUUAAAGAUCUUUUAUUCAAGAGGAAAUUAUUUGGUGAAGUUGUUGCACAUGUUCAUGUAAUAGAAUUUCAGAAGAGAGGCCUACCGCAUGCACACUUCUUAAUUAUUCUAAAGUGCGGUCGAUGGGGCGAAUAG
rnacentral:rRNA from 1 species